rnacentral:rRNA from 1 species
GACGAACGCUGGCGGCGUGCUUAACACAUGCAAGUCGAACGAUGAACCCGGAGCUUGCUCCGGUGGAUUAGUGGCGAACGGGUGAGUAACACGUGAGUAACCUGCCCUUGACUCUGGGAUAACUGCGGGAAACUGUAGCUAAUACCGGAUACGACCCUCGGCGGCAUCGCCAGGGGGUGGGAAGAAUUUCGGUCAAGGAUGGACUCGCGGCCUAUCAGCUAGUUGGUGAGGUAACGGCUCACCAAGGCGACGACGGGUAGCCGGCCGGAGAGGGUGACCGGCCACACUGGGGCUGAGACACGGCCCAGACUCCUACGGGAGGCAGCAGGGGGGAAUAUUGCACAAUGGGCGAAAGCCUGAUGCAGCAACGCCGCGUGAGGGAUGACGGCCUUCGGGUUGUAAACCUCUUUUAGUAGGGAAGAAGCGAAAGUGACGGUACCUGCAGAAAAAGCACCGGCUAACUACGUGCCAGCAGCCGCCGUAA